UCCGGUGUGGUGUAUCGGUUAUCAUUCCGCGUUUUCAAUUGUUCUGCAAUUAAGCGCCGCGGCGAGCGGGGUUCGACUCCCCGCACCGGAG
rnacentral:tRNA from 15 species